UUGGAGGGCAAGUCUGGUGCCAGCAGCCGCGGUAAUUCCAGCUCCAAUAGCGUAUAUUAAAGUUGUUGCAGUUAAAAAGCUCGUAGUUGAAUUUCGGGGUUAGUAGGUUGGUCAUGCCUCUGGUAUGUACUGGUCUCACUGAUUCCUCCUUCCUGAUGAACCGUAAUGCCAUUAAUUUGGUGUUGUGGGGAAUUUGGACUGUUACUUUGAAAAAAUUAGAGUGUUUAAAGCAAGCUAACGCUUGAAUACAUUAGCAUGGAAUAAUGAAAUAGGACGUUCGAUCCUAUUUUGUUGGUUUCUAGGAUUGACGUAAUGAUUAAUAGGGAUAGUUGGGGGCAUUAGUAUUCAAUUGUCAGAGGUGAAAUUCUUGGAUUUAUUGAAGACUAACUACUGCGAAAGCAUUUGCCAAGGAUGUUUUCAUUAAUCAAGAACGAAAGUUAGGGGAUCGAAGACGAUCAGAUACCGUCGUAGUCUUAACCAUAAACUAUGCCGACUAGGGAUCGGAUGAUGUUAAUUUUUUAAUGACUCAUUCGGCGCCUUACGGGAAAC
rnacentral:rRNA from 2 species